rnacentral:piRNA from 1 species
UNGCCUAAGCACAGCUUCCUACCUAAAU